CCAGACUCCUACGGGAGGCAGCAGUGGGGAAUAUUGCACAAUGGGGGAAACCCUGAUGCAGCGACGCCGCGUGAGCGACGAAGUAUUUCGGUAUGUAAAGCUCUAUCAGCAGGGAAGAAAAUGACGGUACCUGACUAAGAAGCCCCGGCUAACUACGUGCCAGCAGCCGCGGUAAUACGUAGGGGGCAAGCGUUAUCCGGAUUUACUGGGUGUAAAGGGAGCGUAGACGGUCCUGCAAGCCAGAUGUGAAAGCCCGGGGCUCAACCCCGGGACUGCAUUUGGAACUGUAAGGCUAGAGUGUCGGAGAGGCAGGCGGAAUUCCUAGCGUAGCGGUGAAAUGCGUAGAUAUUAGGAGGAACACCGGCGGCGAAGGCGGCCUGCUGGACCGUAACUGACGUUGAGGCUCGAAAGCGUGGGGAGCAAACAGGAUUAGAUACCCCAGUAUAC
rnacentral:rRNA from 1 species